UCCAAUCUUGAUCGUCACAUAUCAGCACCUGAGCAGCUAAGAAUACAGGCAUGUGCCACUAGCGCCCAGCUUCAUUUAUAUCUUUAAUAGAACUAAAAUCAUCAGUGACCUCUUUCUUUCGUUGAAUUCUCUACUACCUUGGUUUAUUUAAUACUAUUCUCUCAAAAUAUCACCUAAGUGUUUUUCACUAACUACUCUUUUUUUAAACUUAUAUUUCAGUCUCUAAAGAGUUCUUGUCUUGGGCUGGGAAUAUGGCCUAGUGGCAAGAGUGCUUGCCUCCUACACAU